GCCCAAAGUCGCACGUGCCUGUGGGUGUCCGCCGAACCUCGGAAUGGCGAGGAAAUCGGUACGGUACCUGGACCUAACCGCUCCAGUCGAUUCUACGGCCACCCGCUGAAUCGAGGACAUCUUGAAGCAACGACGGUGCGGGCCUUU
rnacentral:sRNA from 1 species